GGAUUGCCCUAGUAACGGCGAGUGAAGCGGCAACAGCUCAAAUUUGAAAUCUGGCUUCCUUUGGGAGUCCGAGUUGUAAUUUGUAGAGGGUGCUUUGGCAUAGGCGGCGGUCUAAGUUCCUUGGAACAGGACAUCGCAGAGGGUGAGAAUCCCGUAUGUGGGCGCCUGCCUUUGCCGUGUAAAGCCCCUUCGACGAGUCGAGUUGUUUGGGAAUGCAGCUCUAAAUGGGAGGUAAAUUUCUUCUAAAGCUAAAUACUGGCCAGAGACCGAUAGCGCACAAGUAGAGUGAUCGAAAGAUGAAAAGUACUUUGGAAAGAGAGUCAAAUAGCACGUGAAAUUGUUGAAAGGGAAGCGCUUGCAGCCAGACGUGCCCGCAGUUGCUCACCCCGGCUCUUGCCGGGGGCAUUCUUCUGCGGGCAGGCCAGCAUCAGUUUGGGCGGUCGGAUAAAGGCCUCUGUCAAGUAUCUUCCUUCGGGAUGACCUUAUAGGGGAGGCGUAAUGCGACCAGCCUGGACUGAGGUCCGCGCAUCUGCUAGGAUGCUGGCGUAAUGGCUGUAAGCGGCCCU
rnacentral:rRNA from 1 species